rnacentral:misc_RNA from 1 species
UGAAUUUUAACACUCACCCCCCCAAUUCCCAAAUUUUUCUUCAAAAAAUGGCGAUCGCUUAUCUACGGAGAUUUGCUUCACGAAUCGCUCGAAACACUUCUCUAUCAUCCUCCUUCGGAUCCUCAAUCGCUCGAUCUUCCGCUUCAUCGUCGUCGCCGUCGGCUUCCGCCAAGGUCGCCGAUCGGAUUGUCAAGCUAUCAGCUGUCGAUCCAGACGGUAACAAACGCGAUGUUGUCGGACUCUCGGGUCAAACACUGCUCAAAGCACUAACGAAUCAGGGGUUAAUUGACCCAGAUUCUCAUCGGCUUGAAGAUAUCGAUGCUUGUUCAGCUGAAUGUGAGGUACACAUUGCUCAGGAAUGGCUCGAGAAGCUUCCACCAGCUUCGUAUGAUGAAAAGUAUGUUUUGAAGAGGAAUUCUAGAGCUAGGGUUUUGAACAAGCACUCUAGGCUUGGAUGUCAGGUGGUUCUUUCCCAGGAACUUCAAGGUAUGGUUGUGGCACUUCCUGAACCCAAGCCUUGGGAUAUCCCGUAAGGUGAAAUGAAAAUUUGUUGAGGUUUUUGAAUUGGAAUUUUAGUGUUUUGUGAUAAUAAUAAUAAUAUAUGGAAACUUUUGGUACUUGAUGAUGUUUCUUUUUUAAUUACUCAGUAUGUUAAGCCAUUGGAAUGUUCCCAAUUCGAAGUAAGUGGCAAUAUGAUGUCGAAACUGUUUGAAGUUCACAACUUUGUUUGUUUUAAUUUUGAAAUGAAUGAUUUCCCAUUUCAUGUUAUAUCCUUGUAAGAAUGUAUUGCUAUACUUAUCUGACAAUUA